rnacentral:rRNA from 1 species
GAUUCGUCACACUAUCAUUAACUGAAUCCAUAGGUUAAUGAGGCGAACCGGGGGAACUGAAACAUCUAAGUACCCCGAGGAAAAGAAAUCAACCGAGAUUCCCCCAGUAGCGGCGAGCGAACGGGGAGGAGCCCAGAGCCUGAAUCAGCAUGUGUGUUAGUGGAAGCGUCUGGAAAGGCGCGCGAUACAGGGUGACAGCCCCGUACACAAAAGCGCAUGUGCUGUGAGCUCGAUGAGUAGGGCGGGACACGUGGUAUCCUGUCUGAAUAUGGGGGGACCAUCCUCCAAGGCUAAAUACUCCUGACUGACCGAUAGUGAACCAGUACCGUGAGGGAAAGGCGAAAAGAACCCCGGCGAGGGGAGUGAAAAAGAACCUGAAACCGUGUACGUACAAGCAGUGGGAGCACCCUUUGGGUGUGACUGCGUACCUUUUGUAUAAUGGGUCAGCGACUUAUAUUCUGUAGCAAGGUUAACCGAAUAGGGGAGCCGGAGGGAAACCGAGUCUUAACCGGGCGUUAAGUUGCAGGGUAUAGACCCGAAACCCGGUGAUCUAGCCAUGGGCAGGUUGAAGGUUGGGUAACACUAACUGGAGGACCGAACCGACUAAUGUUGAAAAAUUAGCGGAUGACCUGUGGCUGGGGGUGAAAGGCCAAUCAAACCGGGAGAUAGCUGGUUCUCCCCGAAAGCUAUUUAGGUAGCGCCUCGUGAAUUCAUCUCCGGGGGUAGAGCACUGUUUCGGCUAGGGGGCCAUCCCGGCUUACCAACCCGAUGCAAACUGCGAAUACCGGAGAAUGUUAUCACGGGAGACACACGGCGGGUGCUAACGUCCGUCGUGAAGAGGGAAACAACCCAGACCGCCAGCUAAGGUCCCAAAGUCAUGGUUAAGUGGGAAACGAUGUGGGAAGGCCCAGACAGCCAGGAUGUUGGCUUAGAAGCAGCCAUCAUUUAAAGAAAGCGUAAUAGCUCACUGGUCGAGUCGGCCUGCGCGGAAGAUGUAACGGGGCUAAACCAUGCACCGAAGCUGCGGCAGCGACACUGUGUGUUGUUGGGUAGGGGAGCGUUCUGUAAGCCUGUGAAGGUGUGUCGUGAGGCAUGCUGGAGGUAUCAGAAGUGCGAAUGCUGACAUAAGUAACGAUAAAGCGGGUGAAAAGCCCGCUCGCCGGAAGACCAAGGGUUCCUGUCCAACGUUAAUCGGGGCAGGGUGAGUCGACCCCUAAGGCGAGGCCGAAAGGCGUAGUCGAUGGGAAACGGGUUAAUAUUCCCGUACUUGGUGUUACUGCGAAGGGGGGACGGAGAAGGCUAUGUUGGCCGGGCGACGGUUGUCCCGGUUUAAGCGUGUAGGUGUGU